rnacentral:rRNA from 1 species
AUUGAACGCUGGCGGCAUGCCUUACACAUGCAAGUCGAACGGCAGCACGGGAGCAAUCCUGGUGGCGAGUGGCGAACGGGUGAGUAAUGUAUCGGAACGUGCCCAGUCGUGGGGGAUAACGUAGCGAAAGCUACGCUAAUACCGCAUACGAUCUAUGGAUGAAAGCGGGGGAUCGCAAGACCUCGCGCGAUUGGAGCGGCCGAUAUCAGAUUAGGUAGUUGGUGGGGUAAAGGCUCACCAAGCCGACGAUCUGUAGCUGGUCUGAGAGGACGACCAGCCAGACUGGGACUGAGACAAGGCCCAGACUCCGACGGGGGGCGGCAGUGGGGAAUUUUGGCCAAUGGGCGCAAGCCUGAUCCAGCAAUGCCGCGUGCAGGAUGAAGGCCUUCGGGUUGUAAACUGCUUUUGUACGGAACGAAACGGCGAGCUCUAAUACAGUUUGCUAAUGACGGUACCGUAAGAAUAAGCACCGGCUAACUACGUGCCAGCAGCCGCCGUAA